rnacentral:misc_RNA from 1 species
CAGGUGAUUGAGGUUAUGGUU